CAUUCCUUGGAAAAGCUGAACAAAAUGAGUGAGAACUCCCUAC
rnacentral:snoRNA from 1 species